CGAACGAAAAGAGGGAAAGAGCUUGCUCUUUCCGGAAUUGAGUGGCAAACGGGUGAGUAACACGUAAACAACCUGCCUUCAGGAUGGGGACAACAGACGGAAACGACUGCUAAUACCGAAUAAGUUCCAAGAGCCGCAUGGCCCAUGGAAGAAAAGGUGGCCUCUACCUGUAAGCUAUCGCCUGAAGAGGGGUUUGCGUCUGAUUAGCUGGUUGGAGGGGUAACGGCCCACCAAGGCGACGAUCAGUAGCCGGUCUGAGAGGAUGAACGGCCACACUGGAACUGAGACACGGUCCAGACUCCUACGGGAGGCAGCAGUGGGGAAUCUUCCGCAAUGGGCGAAAGCCUGACGGAGCAACGCCGCGUGAGUGAUGACGGCCUUCGGGUUGUAAAACUCUGUGAUCCGGGACGAAAAUGCAGAGUGCGAAGAACAAACUGCAUUGACGGUACCGGAAAAGCAAGCCACGGCUAACUACGUGCCAGCAGCCGCGGUAAUACGUAGGUGGCAAGCGUUGUCCGGAAUUAUUGGGCGUAAAGCGCGCGCAGGCGGCUUCCCAAGUCCCUCUUAAAAGUGCGGGGCUUAACCCCGUGAUGGGAAGGAAACUGGGAAGCUGGAGUAUCGGAGAGGAAAGUGGAAUUCCUAGUGUAGCGGUGAAAUGCGUAGAGAUUAGGAAGAACACCGGUGGCGAAGGCGACUUUCUGGACGAAAACUGACGCUGAGGCGCGAAAGCGUGGGGAGCAAACAGAAGUAGAUACCCUGGUAGUCCACGCCGUAAAC
rnacentral:rRNA from 1 species